UAGCGUAGGGGGCAAGCGUUGUCCGGAUUUAUUGGGCGUAAAGAGCGUGUAGGCGGCCAGGUAGGUCUGCUGUGAAAACUCGAGGCUUAACCUCGAGCUGUCGGCGGAAACCCUCUGGCUAGAGUCCGGAAGAGGAGAAUGGAAUUCCCGGUGUAGCGGUGAAAUGCGCAGAUAAUCGGGAAGAACACCCGUGGCGAAGGCGGUUCUCUGGGACGGUACUGACGCUGAGACGCGAAAGCGUGGGGAGCGAACAGG
rnacentral:rRNA from 1 species